AUUAAUUUAGUGUAUUUGCAUAUUAAUUUUUCGUAUUAAAGGAGCUUAAAAAAGUAAUUAAUA
rnacentral:tRNA from 1 species